rnacentral:rRNA from 2 species
CUAGAGACGCUGGCGGCGUGCCUAAUACAUGCAAGUCGAACGAACUCUGGUAUUGAUUGGUGCUUGCAUCAUGAUUUACAUUUGAGUGAGUGGCGAACUGGUGAGUAACACGUGGGAAACCUGCCCAGAAGCGGGGGAUAACACCUGGAAACAGAUGCUAAUACCGCAUAACAACUUGGACCGCAUGGUCCGAGCUUGAAAGAUGGCUUCGGCUAUCACUUUUGGAUGGUCCCGCGGCGUAUUAGCUAGAUGGUGGGGUAACGGCUCACCAUGGCAAUGAUACGUAGCCGACCUGAGAGGGUAAUCGGCCACAUUGGGACUGAGACACGGCCCAAACUCCUACGGGAGGCAGCAGUAGGGAAUCUUCCACAAUGGACGAAAGUCUGAUGGAGCAACGCCGCGUGAGUGAAGAAGGGUUUCGGCUCGUAAAACUCUGUUGUUAAAGAAGAACAUAUCUGAGAGUAACUGUUCAGGUAUUGACGGUAUUUUACCAGAAAGCCACGGCUAACUACGUGCCAGCAGCCGCGGUAAUACGUAGGUGGCAAGCGUUGUCCGGAUUUAUUGGGCGUAAAGCGAGCGCAGGCGGUUUUUUAAGUCUGAUGUGAAAGCCUUCGGCUCAACCGAAGAAGUGCAUCGGAAACUGGGAAACUUGAGUGCAGAAGAGGACAGUGGAACUCCAUGUGUAGCGGUGAAAUGCGUAGAUAUAUGGAAGAACACCAGUGGCGAAGGCGGCUGUCUGGUCUGUAACUGACGCUGAGGCUCGAAAGUAUGGGUAGCAAACAGGAUUAGAUACCCUGGUAGUCCAUACCGUAAACGAUGAAUGCUAAGUGUUGGAGGGUUUCCGCCCUUCAGUGCUGCAGCUAACGCAUUAAGCAUUCCGCCUGGGGGAGUACGGCCGCAAGGCUGAAACUCAAAGGAAUUGACGGGGGCCCGCACAAGCGGUGGAGCAUGGUGGUUUAAUUCGAAGCUACGCGAAGAACCUUACCAGGUCUUGACAUACUAUGCAAAUCUAAGAGAUUAGACGUUCCCUUCGGGGACAUGGAUACAGGUGGUGCAUGGUUGUCGUCAGCUCGUGUCGUGAGAUGUUGGGUUAAGUCCCGCAACGAGCGCAACCCUUAUUAUCAGUUGCCAGCAUUAAGUUGGGCACUCUGGUGAGACUGCCGGUGACAAACCGGAGGAAGGUGGGGAUGACGUCAAAUCAUCAUGCCCCUUAUGACCUGGGCUACACACGUGCUACAAUGGAUGGUACAACGAGUUGCGAACUCGCGAGAGUAAGCUAAUCUCUUAAAGCCAUUCUCAGUUCGGAUUGUAGGCUGCAACUCGCCUACAUGAAGUCGGAAUCGCUAGUAAUCGCGGAUCAGCAUGCCGCGGUGAAUACGUUCCCGGGCCUUGUACACACCGCCCGUCACACCAUGAGAGUUUGUAACACCCAAAGUCGGUGGGGUAACCUUUUAGGAACCAGCCGCCUAAGGUGGACAGAUGAUUAGGGAAGU